GACCUCGGAUCAGGUGAGGAUACCCGCUGAAUUUAAGCAUAUUAAUAAGCGGAGGAAAAGAAACCAACAGGGAUUGCCUUAGUAGCGGCGAGUGAAGCGGCAACAGCUCACAUUUGAAAUCCGGCUCAUAAUUAAGAGUCUGAGUUGUAAUCUGCAGAGGGAGUUUCGGGUGAAGUCUGGUUUAAGUUCCUUGGAACAGGACGUCAUAGAGGGUGAGAACCCCGUCAGUGACCAAUCACUAACCCGUGUGAAACCCCUUCGACGAGUCGAGUUGUUUGGGAAUGCAGCUCUAAAUGGGUGGUAAAUUUCAUCUAAAGCUAAAUAUUGGCCGGAGACCGAUAGCGCACAAGUAGAGUGAUCGAAAGAUGAAAAGCACUUUGGAAAGAGAGUUAAAUAGUACGUGAAAUUGUUGAAAGGGAAGCGCUUGCGGCCAG
rnacentral:rRNA from 1 species